AGUCACCGACAUUAGAUACCCCUGUAGUCCCAGCCGUAAACAAUGUGCGUUAGGUGUGUCGGUAACCACGUGUUACUGAUGCGCCGAAGAGAAAUCGUGAAACGCACCACCUGGGAAGUACGGUCGCAAGGCUGAAACUUAAAGGAAUUGGCGGGGAGCACCACAACAGGUGGAGCCUGCGGUUUAAUUGGAUUCAACGCCGGACAUCUCACCGGAUAAGACAGCUGAAUGAUUGUCAAUCUGAAGGUUUUACAUGACUAGCUG
rnacentral:rRNA from 1 species